GAUGAAGAACGCCGCGAAAUGCGAUAAGUAAUGUGAAUUGCAGAAUUCAGUGAAUCAUCGAAUCUUUGAACGCACAUUGCGCCCCCUGGUAUUCCGGGGGGCAUGCCUGUUCGAGCGUCAUUUCACCACUCAAGCCUCGCUUGGUAUUGGGCAACGCGGUCCGCCGCGUGCCUCAAAUCGUCCGGCUGGGUCUUCUGUCCCCUAAGCGUUGUGGAAACUAUUCGCUAAAGGGUGUUCGGGAGGCUACGCCGUAAAACAACCCCAUUUCUAAGGUUGACCUCGGAUCAGGUAGGGAUACCCGCUGAACUUAAGCAUAUCAAUAAGCGGAGGA
rnacentral:misc_RNA from 1 species